rnacentral:rRNA from 1 species
UACGAAGGGGGCUAGCGUUGCUCGGAAUCACUGGGCGUAAAGGGUGCGUAGGCGGGUCUUUAAGGCAGAGGUGAAAGCCCAGGGCUCAACCCUGGAAUAGCCUUUGAUACUGGCUGUCUUGAGUGCGGGAGAGGUGUGUGGAACUCCGAGUGUAGAGGUGAAAUUCGUAGAUAUUCGGAAGAACACCAGUGGCGAAGGCGACACACUGGCCCGUAACUGACGCUGAGGCGCGAAAGCGUGGGGAGCAAACAGG